CCUACGGGAGGCAGCAGUAGGGAAUCUUGCGCAAUGGGCGAAAGCCUGACGCAGCCAUGCUGCGUGAAUGAUGAAGGUCUUAGGAUUGUAAAAUUCUUUCACCGGGGAAGAUAAUGACGGUACCCGGAGAAGAAGCCCCGGCUAACUUCGUGCCAGCAGCCGCGGUAAUACGAAGGGGGCUAGCGUUGCUCGGAAUUACUGGGCGUAAAGGGCGCGUAGGCGGAUAGUUUAGUCAGAGGUGAAAGCCCAGGGCUCAACCUUGGAACUGCCUUUGAUACUGGCUAUCUUGAGUUCGGGAGAGGUGAGUGGAAUGCCGAGUGUAGAGGUGAAAUUCGUAGAUAUUCGGCGGAACACCAGUGGCGAAGGCGACUCACUGGCCCGAUACUGACGCUGAGGCGCGAAAGCGUGGGGAGCAAACAGGAUUAGAUACCCUGGUAGUCCACGCUGUAAACGAUGAGUGNUAGUUGUCGGCGAUGCAUGCAUGUUCGGUGGACGGACAGACUAACGACAUUAAGUACGACUCCGCCGUCGGGGGUUACGGGGUCGGCGAAGAAGUUAAAACGUUAACGAAAGUAAAGUUAGUUACGGCGUUGAGACGUGCCGACGGACGACGACGAGGGGAGGAGGAG
rnacentral:rRNA from 1 species